AUGACUCGAUCCUUAACUGACAGAUUCGAUGACGAGAGUUUCAGAUUCAGGAAUCGAUAAAUUAUUCACUUAAGAUAAGAAUUCGGAUAUGCUGAACAUCUUAGUCUGAGUAUGCCGGGUAUGUGCCAAGCCCAGUGGAUUGGAGAAUCAAUAGAGCUCGUGGUUGAUCUUCCAAAUCCCGAUCCGCUUCUUCCCCUUUU
rnacentral:lncRNA from 1 species